AGUCCAGAGAAAAAGAAUGCCCUGUUCUGAGAGAAGACUUUGAGUGACAUUGAUCUUCCCCAAAAUUGCUUGAUCAUAUCUUUAAUAAUGUCCCAAGAUUCUUCAGGGGAGAUGUGGUAGCAGAUCCCUGCUUUGCUCCAUACACCAAAAACAUGAUUUCUUGUGAAGUAGUAGGUCUUAGUGUAUAGA